UUUGGAAUAUUCUGAUUCUGUAACAAAUGUAAAUUUAUAUUUCGGUCAUUUUUGAAAAUAGUGAGUUACUAGGGAUUCGUCGUGGCCUAGAUUCCGAUUUGACUUUUAAUGGAGGUAUAACCGUGGCUGUAACAGGGACUUUCUUCUUGUCAAAAUUUUAUAUCGAAUGCAGCUAAGUCAAUUUAUUAUGUCACACAAUUAAUUAUUAUCUUUAAUCCAGUCAAAAACUGGAACUAUUUUGCGAUAUGGUUCCAUUUCGAGCGGUGAUCUGGUUAUGCGACGCGUUUACCCGAAUAAUUCGCUUUCAGAAUCUGAUUAUUCUGUUACCAAUUUAAUAAUAUAAUUUAAAAAAAACAAAACUGUUUAGGAUUAUCUUAUUUACGGAAGAGAACGUGUAAUGGGUCGAAUGUCUCGUCAAUACAAUAUCAGACAUUCUGAGAUUAAUUUGUUUUUAUCGUUAGAUAAAUUUAUCGUCUCAAGGAAUGAGGCCGAAAGUUUUGAAACUGAAUCAAUCGGGUUGACUGAAAAAAAAAAACAAAAAAAACCCCCUAAGCAUGUCGCCACGGCCAUGGCAUCAUUAUAUCUAACCUUUUAUGCUUUUAUGAAGUCAAAGAACACGUUGAUUUGUUUCGCGACCUAUACAUAGGCCUACAGUAUUUGUUUAAAGACCCAAACGAAGUUGAUUUGGAGAAAAAUAAAGCUCCUUAAGAAGAGAAAAGACACAAGAAUGUAUUGAUGUUGGAUGUUUAAGUUGAAAAAAUCAAACUAAAGACUUCAGCAGAAGUGAAAUGAUCCCAAAAAGAACUUAAGGGGGGAAUAUGUUUCAAGGAAUAAUGAAAUCUAGAGAAGAAUACCAGAAGAAAAAUGGUACAGGAGAAAUUUCAAGAUCUAGAUUGAAAUUGCAAAAGAGUGGAUGGCGUCAUAUCUACAAAACAGGAGUUUUCGUGUAAAAGUUAAGAAUGAUUUCUCCGAUGUAAAACAUGUAAAUUUUUCAGUUCCACAAGGUAGCAUCAAUGGUCCGAUCUACUUUAUCUGCUAUACCAGUACACUAGCAUCCUGCAUCAGACACAAUCAAACAUUAGUUGGCUACGCCGAUGACCACAGCUUGUAUGACAGUUUUAAAGCCGGAGAUCUUGAUGCAGAAUCUCAUAUUGCUUCCCGCGUAUCAGAGUCCUUAGACGACGUUAAAAUCUGGAUGCUGCAUAAUCGACUAAAGAUGAACGACGAAAAAACUGAGGUUAUUAUCUUCGGUGGUAGCCGUUAGCUCCACAAGUCUACCAUCCACGAAUUAAGAGUUGGGGAUUCUGUAGUUGGGUCUUCAUCCCGUGUUAAAUUCCUGGGGAUGCAUUUGGACGAAAACUUAAACUUAAAGAGUCAUUUUGCCCAGAAGACUUGUUGUGCUGCUUCGGCAAUGUUCAACUUGCGGAAAUUGAGUCCGUUUCUUUCGCGAGAAUCAUCUCUUCAAAUUGCCAGUUCUUUAGUUUUCUCCCAUAUGGAUUACAGAAAUAGUCUGCUCUGUGGUUUGCCAGCAACUACUCUUCAACCUCUCCAACGAAUUCAAAAUUUUACUGCAAAGCUAAUUCUUGGUGUUAAUUACGGCCAUAGCUCGACUGGUGCUCUGAAAGAACUUCAUAUAUUGCCAGUUGAAGUCCGAUGACAAUUCAAGCUACUGGUACUGGUGUAUAAGUGUCUCCACAACCUUGCCCCUGUCUACCUUUCUGAAUUAUUGCAGUCCCAAACUUCAUCAUGCAAUACGAGAUCGUCAUCAAAAAACAUGUUAUUUAUACCCAAGACAAAAAGUAAAACAUUUGCAGACAGAUCGUUCAGUGUGCUAGGACCGCGGCUCUGGAAUACCCUUCAGAAAGUGUGAAACAAUGUCAAACUGUAACGGAUUUUAAAAAGAAACUCAAAACAUAUUUUUUUCGUAAAGCAUUUCUUUAACGUUUGUGUAAGACUUUGUGAAGCGCCAUUGAAUGCAUGGCAGUAAUGUGCACUAUAUCAAAUGUAAUAUGUUAUGUUAUGUUAUGUUAUUACAUCGUUUCUUCACAGACAGUUGAGUUGAUGAUAAUGUAACAAUAAAGAACUUUUUUCAUUGGAUCUUAUUAUUUCAUUACAAAUUUUGAAUGUAAAUACAUGUAACAUUUUGUUUUAUAUUUUGAAAUAUUGUAUAUAUUAUGGAAAAUUGUGAUAAUUGUUUAUUAAUUUUGAAAUAUCUAGACUGUGAUUUGGUUUUAAUUCAUGCAUAUGUAACGUAAUCAUUAUUGAUUA